rnacentral:rRNA from 1 species
ACUUAGUGGCGGACGGGUGAGUAACGCGUGAGGAACCUGCCUUACAGAGGGGGACAACAGUUGGAAACGACUGCUAAUACCGCAUGAAGUUUCGAGAGGACAUCCUCUUGAAACCAAAGGAGCAAUCCGCUGUAAGAUGGCCUCGCGUCCGAUUAGUUAGUUGGUGGGGUAACGGCCUACCAAGACCGCGAUCGGUAGCCGGACUGAGAGGUUGAACGGCCACAUUGGGACUGAGACACGGCCCAGACUCCUACGGGAGGCAGCAGUGGGGGAUAUUGCACAAUGGAGGAAACUCUGAUGCAGCAACGCCGCGUGAGGGAAGAAGGUUUUCGGAUUGUAAACCUCUGUUUUUAGUGAAGAAACAAAUGACGGUAGCUAAAGAGGAAGCCACGGCUAACUACGUGCCAGCAGCCGCGGUAAUACGGAGACUACGAGCGUUACUCGGAUUCACUGGGCGUAAAGGGAGCGCAGGCGGAAUGGUGUGUUACGUGUGAAAUACCCGGGCUUAACUCGGGGGCUGCGCGUAAAACUAUCAUUCUAGAGACUUGGAGAGGUAAGCGGAAUUUCCGGUGUAGCGGUAAAAUGCGUAGAUAUCGGAAGGAACACCGAAGGCGAAGGCAGCUUACUGGACAAGAUCUGACGCUCAAGCUCGAAAGCGUGGGGAGCGAAAGGGAUUAGAUACCCCUGUAGUCCACGCCCUAAACAUUGUACACUAGGUAUUGGAGGAAUCAUCCCCUUCAGUGCCCCAGCUAACGCGAUAAGUGUACCGCCUGAGGACUACGCCCGCAAGGUUAAAACUCAAAGAAAUUGACGGGGGCCCGCACAAGCGGUGGAGCAUGUGACUUAAUUCGAUGCAACGCGAAGAACCUUACCUGGGUUUGACAUGUAUUGGAAUAUGGCUGAAAGGCUAUAGUCCUUCGGGACUGAUACACAGAUGCUGCAUGGCUGUCGUCAGCUCGUGUCGUGAGAUGUUCGGUUAAGUCCGGCAACGAGCGCAACCCUCGCCCUAUGUUACCAGCGGGUAAAGCCGGGGACUCUUAGGGGACAAACCUGAAUUCAGGUGGGAAGGUGGGGAUGACGUCAAGUCAGUAUGGCUCUUACAUCCAGGGCUGCACACGUGCUACAAUGGCCGAUACAGAGGGAAGCUACGUCGCGAGGCGAUGCAAAUCUUAAAAAUCGGUCCCAGUUCGGAUUGGAUGUCUGCAACUCGACUCCAUGAAGCCGGAAUCGCUAGUAAAGGCGUAUCAGCUACGACGCCUUGAAUACGUUCCCGGGCCUUGCACACACCGCCGGUCA